GGGGUGGAAUCCUACAUACAGGUGGCAGCAAAGCAAAACUCAUGAAGCUUUGGACAGUGUGGAGAGCUUCAGCAAACAGGAGAGAGCCACUGUGCGGCCCGGCUGCACCACUCCUGAGCCCACCCAGAAGGACUCCGUGUCAGCGCUCUUCAGAGAUGCCAGCACACCCGUGUUUAUUAUAGCCCUAGUCACAGAGGCCAAGAUAUGGAAGCUGGCUAGAUGUCCAUCUACAGAUGCAAGGAUAAGGAAAAGGUGGCGGGUAAACACAGUGGGGUGUUUCCUCAGCUGCAAAGAACAAAAUUACACCAUUUUCAGGAAACCGCAACUGGAGAUCAUCGUGUGAAGCAAAAUAAACUAGAUUUAGACAAAUAUCAUGUUUCUCUCAUAAAAGGACUCUAGACACUAUUUAUAAAUGCAGAGAUAUAUCUAUUUAUAAUUAUGUGUAUAAUUAUUAAAACAUUUAUUGUACACAUAUGUCUAUAUAUAUGAAAUAGGAAGGAACCUAUAUGGAGGGAGGAAAUACCUAAUGGAGGGAAAAAUAAGACAGGGUAGCAAGGAAGAAAGACAGAAGAUAAUCUCUCAUAUGCUGAGUCUCUAUUUAUGUGCAGUGUGGUUGUGUGCAGGUUCUCAUAGCUGCAGCGAGCUUAGGAGUGCAGCAGCCAUGUCAACUCCACAGCACCCCCAGCCACCAACUCUUCCAUGGUUUCCCUGAUAUUUGUGCGGGUGUGCAAAUGGCCCGAUUAUGGCUGACAGUCACUUACUCUCAGCACUUUGGCCAGUUUUGAGCCUCUGCAUUAACCGCUAGGAGAGACAGCUCCUCCAAACCUGUGGAUACAAACGGAAACAUUCAAGGGCAGUUUGCUGCAUGACCAUUUAGCAAAACAACAGUACAAGGCUCCCCGCUAGGGCCUGUGCCCUCCCAGCUUAUAGGAAUAGAGUUCUGUGUAUUCUCUCACUCAUGUGUGGAACACACACACACACACACACACACACUCACAUAAGACCAAGCAGGAAACCAACAAGAGUAAGAAGGGGGACAAGGAAUGGCAAGGGCAGGCACAUAUGAGUAAAAUUAAUUAUAUAUAUACAUAUAUAUGUCAAACAUGUUAAAACCCCAUUAUUUUGUAUACUAACUUAAAAAUUAAUAAAAAAGAAAAAUUUAUCCUCUAAAAAGUAAACAAAUUUACAUCUUAUAAUUAAUUACAAACUAGUUAAAUAUAAAAUAUAAGGAUAAAUGUAUUUUAAAUAUAAAAUAGGAACUGUAAAAUUGCUAAAAGAAAGCUUUGGAGUUUUCUUUAUAAAUAACUGAAGUGGUGGGGUAGAGCAAAAAUUAGAAAAGAAAUGGUUAAAUUCCACUCCACUAAAAAUGUGUUUGGGGGCUGGAGAAAUGACUCAGUGGUUAAGAGCACUUGUCACUCUUCCCAAGGACCCAGGUUCAAUUCCUGGCACCCCCAUGGUAACUCACAAGUGCCCAUGACUCCAGUUCCAGGGCUCUUGCACCCUCAUACAUGCAGUCCAAACACUAUGAACACAAAAUAAAAAAAUUAUAGCUGGGCAGUAGUGGCACAUGCCUUUUAUCGCAACACGCUGGAGGCAGAGGCAGGGAUUCAAAGUUCCUGGUUCAAAGACAGCCUGGUCUAAAGAGGAGUUCUAGGACAGCCAAGACUACACAGUGAAACCCUGUCUCGAAAAACU
rnacentral:lncRNA from 1 species